rnacentral:rRNA from 1 species
AUACGUAGGGGGCGAGCGUUAUCCGGAUUUAUUGGGUGUAAAGCGUGUGUAGGCGGUUUGUUAAGUUUAAGAUUAAAGCCCGAGGCUUAACCUCGGUUCGUCUUAAAAACUGGCAGACUUGAGUGCAGUAGAGGCAAGUGGAAUUUCUAGUGUAGCGGUUAAAUGCGUAGAUAUUAGAAGGAACACCAGUGGCGAAGGCGGCUUGCUGGGCUGUUACUGACGCUGAGACACGAAAGCGUGGGGAGCAAAUAGGAUUAGAUACCCUAGUAGUCCACGCCGUAAACGAUGAGUACUAAGUGUCGGGUGACCGGUGCUGAAGUUAACACAUUAAGUACUCCGCCUGAGUAGUACGGUCGCAAGGCUGAAACUCAAAUGAAUUGACGGGG